rnacentral:rRNA from 1 species
AGUGAACGCUGGCGGCGUGCUUAACACAUGCAAGUCGAACGAGAAACGGGUUUAGUUUACUAGACCGCAGUCUAAGUGGCGCACGGGUGAGUAAUAUAUAGGUAACAUGCCUCUUACUAAGGGAUAACAGAUGGAAACGCCUGCUAAUACCUUAUAUGCCUUUUGGACUAAAGUUCGUAAAGGGAAAGAUUUAUUGGUAAGAGAUUGGCCUGUACAGUAUCAGCUAGUUGGUGGUGUAAUGGACCACCAAGGCUAUGACACUUAACUGGUUUGAGAGGAUGAUCAGUCACACUGGAACUGAGACACGGUCCAGACUCCUACGGGAGGCAGCAGUGGGGAAUAUUGCACAAUGGACGAAAGUCUGAUGCAGCAACGCCGCGUGGAGGAUGACACAUUUCGGUGCGUAAACUCCUUUUAUAGGUCAAGAUAAUGACGGUAGCCUAUGAAUAAGCGCCGGCUAACUCCGUG